GAGCCGGAAGUUUACGCGGGGCCGGAGCCUCUUAACGGCGACCGCCCCAGAAACCUGUACCCGGGAUGGGCGGGGCCGAGGGGCGGGAACUGGCGUGGGUGAGGCCGUCAGGUGCCCCAGCUCAAAGGGCCGCGGUGGAAGGUGUUUGCGUCAACUGGGCGGUGGAGUGCUGUUCACCGUUGUCUGCCUGGUGAAGAUACGCUAGAGCCAAUGACAUUUCUUUUUUAUCUGAAGUCUUUUAAAGAUCCCCCCCAGAAAUACGGGGUGAAAGAAACUCAGACUUUGCAAAAAUAUUUGGCCAUCUAUGACCCCUUGCUUCUUGCUGUUUGUGGUUGAACUUCGGCAGAUGCUCCUUAAUGCACAAGUGAAUAUUUUAGCCAUACUGUCAUACCAUGGACAUGUGGUUUACACUAAGAAGACUGAGGAACUGCAGUACUUUUUUUAAACGGAAGGUUCUCGUACAAUGAAAUCUUGAAAUUGGGACUGCAGCUAGCAGGCCGUCUUGAAUUGAAGCCAAAAUGCAGAUUUCUGCACUAGAGCUGAGCUGGUUGGAAGAGGUUUCAAGCUACUUUUAAAGUCCCAAAUGGGGUCAGCAAAUUAUGGCCUGUGGACCUAAUCCAGCCUGUCACUUGUUUUUGUGUGGCCUGAGGAUGGUUUUACAUUUUUAAUGGUUGGAGUUGAGAGAAGGUGAGCAAAGGAAGAUUUCGUGACAAAUGAAAAUGAGAUGAAAUUCAAAGAUCUGGAGGCCAGAAGUCCAGAUCAAGAAGCCAGCAGGGACUGUUCCAACAGAGGGCGGUGUCUCCGGCCUGUCUCCUGGGCUUGUGGACAGCCAUCUUCUCCCUGUGUCUUCACAUCACCUUCCCUCUGAACGUGUUUGUGUCCCAAUUCCCUAUUCUUAUAAGGACACCAGGCAUUUUGGAAGAGGAACCUCCCCAAUGACCUUAUUUGAACUCACUUUCUUCUUUAAAAACACUUCCUCCGAAUAGGAUUUCCACAUAUGCAUUUUAGGGGAAGACAGUUCAAUGCAGAACACCAAAGAUCCCAAGAAAUCAUUUUUGUUUUAUCAGGGAAAGAAGAUGGAAAUAACAGGUGGUGUUGGAGUGCUGAGUGAUACACACACAGAGUGCCAGAGCUCUGUCUGGUACGGGGUGAACACCUGGACAGAUCCGCCGGUAUCACCGCGACUUUGAGAAGCUGGUGAAAUGCUCUUCCCUUCACCUCCGUGCAGCAAAGGGCAGUGAUGCUUGUGUGGACCCAACCUGAGGACUGGGGCUACUAAGUGGGGAGACUUGGCACGGAUGCUCCUAAAAGGUUUUCCCACCUGACACUAAGUAUUACAAAAACACAUCCUGCCCAUCAAUUACCAACCCAGAGCCAAUUCAAGAGUGAUUUUUUAUCCCCAAGUUCUCCAUCAUUCCCUCUUUUCACUCCCUUACCACCUGUGGUAGCUGCUCUGAUCCAGUCGGCUUCUUCGCCUCCAUGUGCUCUGCCCUCUGGUUCUAGGAUCUCCCAUCAUUUUCCCUCCCCAGACCAUGGCUUCCAUCUCCCUGUCUCAGAGAAGGGUUGCUAGCUGCUCGCACUGCCUUCCUCCCGAGACCGACAGCUUCUUACAUGGUCUCCAGGUACAAUAUGUUUUAUCCCCCGACAUUCCUCUUAGGAGAUGGACAGCAUGUCCCCCAGAAAAGGGGAGCUCACUUAUUGUUUGUUAACACUGUCAGAGCACUUGCAGCCACACAGAAGACCGCCAAACCUCCCCACUCCUCACUCGCAGGGCCUGGGCCGCCCCGCCUCUGCCCCCUCCUCCCCUCAGCCCUGGGCCCCACUCUUUUUCUUCUAUCCCCAACCCCGCACCUGCUUUCUGCUGCCUCGGCACCCACAAGCACCCACAAGCAUGUGUCGUGUCCCGCCCCUUAGCCUGGCUGUGUGGCCCUUUCCAUCUAAAGGAUGUCCCCUGACCGUGCCUGGGAAAAGCUUCCCUCAUCGUGGAGGCACGCUGUUGCAACUGCCCGCCUUCCCGCCACAGGUUCCGCAGAGUCCCAGUGCAGCACAGUGGCUGGCACUGAGGAUGUCUGAAGAGACAUGGAAUCUGUUUCCAGCAAGGCCUGUGCUCUCCCGUCUCUGAACAGCACACUCCCUGUCCCGUCUCUUCUUGCUAGGGACCUCUGCCUAGAGCUGGGGCUUCGUCCCAUCAUGAGCUCUCACCACAUACUCUCUUUUCCAUAUCAGGUUUCUGCAAAGACUGUCUGGAAGGAUCACAUCUCUCACAACUGCCUUCAUAAGAACCUUUGUUUAAUUAUUAUUUAGAAAUGCAGUUAUAUACAUAGAACAAUUAAAAUUAAAUUAAACUUUGUACAAAUAUUAAAAUAC